CCUACGGGGGACAGCAGUGAGGAAUAUUGGUCAAUGGACGAGAGUCUGAACCAGCCAAGUAGCGUGAAGGAUGACUGCCCUAUGGGUUGUAAACUUCUUUUAUAUGGGAAUAAAAUGUUCCACGUGUGGGAUUUUGUAUGUACCAUAUGAAUAAGGAUGGGCUAACUCCGUGCCAGCAGCCGCGGUAAUACGGAGGAUCCGAGCGUUAUCCGGAUUUAUUGGGUUUAAAGGGAGCGUAGGUGGAUUGUUAAGUCAGUUGUGAAAGUUUGCGGCUCAACCGUACAAUUGCAGUUGAAACUGGCAGUCUUGAGUACAGUAGAGGUGGGCGGAAUUCGUGGUGUAGCGGUGAAAUGCUUAGAUAUCACGAAGAACUCCGAUUGCGAAGGCAGUUCACUGGACUGCAACUGACACUGAGGCUCGAAAGUGUGGGUAUCAAACAGGAUUAGAUACCCGGGUAGUC
rnacentral:rRNA from 1 species